AUUGAACGCUGGCGGCAUGCCUUACACAUGCAAGUCGAACGAGUGGCGAACGGGUGAGUAAUAUAUCGGAACGUACCGAGUAAUGGGGGAUAACAACUGGAAACGGUAGCUAAUACGGCAUACCAUCAGAUGUGCCCAGAUGGGAUUAGCUUGUUGGUGGGGAAACGGCACACCAAGCCGCGGAUCCCUCGCUGGUCUGAGAGGAUGACCAGCCACACUGGAACUGAGACACGGGCCAGACUCCUACGGGAGGCAGCAGUGGGGAAUAUUGCACAAUGGGCGCAAUCCUGAUACAGCCAUGCCGCGUGUAUGAAGAAGGCCUUCGGGUUGUAAAGUACUUUCAGCGGGGAGGCGUUACCCGCAGAAGAAGCACCGGCUAACUCCGUGCCAGCAGCCGCGGUAAUUC
rnacentral:rRNA from 1 species